rnacentral:sRNA from 1 species
UGAGAUGUUGGGUGCAAGGCUUAUCUC